AUAUACUGUGGCGCCCCGAUCCCUUAUCGGUGCUCCCCACGAGACCACCAGGACGGCCGAGCCCAUCGACACCGGCGGCCGCUGGGAAAAGUGGUGAGUGGGCGGUACCUAGCAAACCCCUGUCUAGAGACGUUCAGGACCCUGGACAGCCCCCGGCAGACCAACUGAGGCGACAACCGGCAGCACCAUGGACAGGGCUGCAGCAGAGGGAAGAAGAGGCUGUGAAGACCUGGAGCGGAGCACUGAUACCCCGACCGGGAAGACUUUUUAGUUGUUUUUGGCUCCCCCUACCCCUACCCCCACUCAUUACAAUUAUUAAAGACCUUUUUUGUUAAACACUA